UUAUAACCUAUGAUCACAGAAAGUCCUGAUCCUCACGUUUCUCUGCUGUCACCUGUGGGCUCCUCCAGAGCCGUGAAGAAGGGGGAACUCCAGCCCCACCAUGACAAGACCGGGUCUUCCGUGCAUGGCGACUCCACCCAUGUGAGAGCUCUCUUAUGUGAGUCCUCAGCAGCACAUUGUGCUGUCUGUGGUCUGUGGACACUGACUGCCAUCUAAGCAACACCACAGCUCCCUCCUCUCCCCCUAGACGCCACUGUCUUAGAGCCUCCAUGUGCAUUUGCUAUGACAUACAUCAGUGUUGAUGAGAGACAGGAACACUGCCGGGUGAUCUCGAGCUGCCAAAAUAAUCAGCUCUGUGCACAACAUGGCUUAAAGGAUUUUUCGGUUAGCAGCAUGCAUCCACUAAAGAACCUAGACACUCACAUUUUUUCUGGGGACUUCCACACUCUAGACUACUGCCACACGGGCAGGGCACCUUUGGCCGGUCCUGUGGAAAACCGGAUGUAUCGGAGCGUGGAGAACCUUCACUGGGCAACUGUUGCCGACUCUGGGCUGUAUUCUCACUGCCGGAGCCUGGAUAACGAGAUCAUCUUUCGCUAUAGAGGCACCAGUCAGUGGACAGAAGGCUGUGUGGAUGUGGCCCCAGUACAGAGCACGUCGGACUCUCCAAGAGACCUUUCUCUCCGUGCUAAACAGACGUCUCAAUCGGCACAGAACGUGCUCUUCCCUCCCUUUGCCAAAGUGCCUCAGUGGCUCUUCCCUUCUGCAGAGGAAAGAGCCCUACAUGGGGAUGCCAGAAAAGAGCUGAAGGAGAAGCUGAGGCUGCACAGCAGUAAGGUGGCAGAGCCCUGUAAGCCAGUGCGUCCCCAGGUGGCCCUGCCUGACCUGAUGGCCCGGGAGUUCUUUGAGUGCCAGGUGUGUCGGCAGUGCAAGAACGGUUGUGCUGUCAACUACUGCACGGUGUUGGUGGAACACACUGCCCUCAGGCGCGGCCUCACAGGGAGACAGGGACUGUGCUUUGCACACAGGAUCAUCAGUCCAGAAGACAUCAAGCAGGAGGCUCAGAGGAGGCUUCAGCUCCGAAGGCAGAAUAGCUCCCCCAGUUUGCCCCUUCAGCUCACAGGGGAAAGCCAUGAGAUGGGCAAAUCCAGAACAGCAGAAACCCUAGAACAAUACAGUGGGGAAACAGAUGGCAAAGUCACAUUGGGACAGAGCAAGAAAGGUCGCUGUAAAGGGAGGCUCUACAUACCCACCUUUGAGGAAUUUAAGCAGAUGAGAAGAAAGGAAGGAAAUUCAUCUGCCAGCAGCAGUGAGACAACAGAGUGCUUGAAUAAGGGUUUGCCUGCAAACCAGACACUGGAGAAGGAAAAGAAUGUCUGUCCAGAAGCUUUGGGGACCAGAGCUGUCAAUGAAUCUGCUGUCACAGUGGAGGAUGAUGACGAUGUAUUCCACGAAAACCACACCUCUGCUGGCUUUUCCCAGUAUCCAGCCACAUGGGAUGGUUUCAGGAUGAGCAGUCCUGAGCUGAAGGACAAAACCUUCCAUACCUCUAGCCCAGAUACAUCGCCAGUCCCUAUUUGCUCCAGUCCAAUUCCACGAUCACCUUUACAGGCAGUAGCAAUACACAGAACUGGGCAGGAGAUCUUGAGUGAUGAGCAGCAGAAAGGAGAGACAAGAAAAUUAAAUGAUGUCCUCCACCUUGCAGGGCAGUCCCUGGCUUCUGAAGCCCAGUCCUCUUGCUGUUCAUCGCUGCUGUUAGAAGCUACAGACUUAUCCAGCUAUGGAGCUAAGCUACAAAAAAUGAAGGAUGAAUUCAUAGGUUCAGCCUUGGAACUUAUUAAGAAAAGCUGCAAUGCUGAGACUGCUGCCAAAUCCCCCUCUAAGGGACAGUGUGAUCUGAGGGAAGCUGAUCUCCCACCUCCGGAGGACAGCCAGCAGCCCACAGCGAUGUCCAUGGCAACAGAGACCUGGGAGAACAAGCCAAGCAAUGAGACAGCCAGCGCCACUCCACCUGCAGGGAAUACCCCCAGUCCUGGCUGUCGCCGAUCCAGCUCCGACAUAGUCCAUGAGAGCACGGAUGGUGCCAAGGCCCAGCGGGAGUGCCGGCUGCGGCCACACUUCAGUGACCCUAUGCCGACAGACUCGGUGAAGAGGAAGCAGCUGGAGCUGAAGAUCGCGGCUGCAGCGCGGCAGCACGCGCAGAAACGCCGGCAGGAGCGAGACUAUGGUCCAGUGGUAGCAAAAGCCAACCUUGGCCAUGGUGGCAGCUUUGAUGAGACUCGCCGUGCCCCACGUGGCUCCCUCCGCUCCAGGCACCAUUGGAGCAACGUCAGCAGCCUGAGCACAGACAGUGGGAUUGUUGGCGUGAAUGAUGCCCGGGACGACCUGGAUCCCAGCGAGGGCACCCGGACCAAGUCAGCAGAUGUGGAGAGGGCAGACAGUGGUAUUGGCCAAAUGCCAGCCAGGAAGUGGAGGAACAGGGCAUCUGAAACACUGAGCUCCCUGCAGGCCUGGGAAGCCCACCGUCCCUGCACUGACUGUGGAGAAAGGGACCUGCCGGUGGAGACAGAUGUUCAGAACUGCAACCAGAGGCGGGCUGACCUCUGCGAGAAGUGCCGCAAGCGCAGGACGGAGCGCAAGGAGUCUGUGCUGGAGUUUGUCAACACAGAGGCCAGCUAUGGAGAGGACCUGCGCAUCAUUAAAGAGGAGUUCUACCUCCCCAUGCAGGCGGCCGGGUUGCUGAGCCAGGAGCAGCUCCAGGGCAUCUUCAGCAACAUCCAGGAACUCAUUGACCUCAAUGAGAACUUCCUGGAGAUACUUCAGGAAGAGAUCGAUCAGGCCUUUGACCAGGGGGAUGAUGACCUGAUGACUGUGUGCAUCGGAGAAAUAUUCCUAGAGUUUGUCAACAUGCUGCCAGCCUUCCAGACCUACUGCCUCCAGCAGUCCUCCUCCGUGAACAUGCUCAACGCACUGGAGAAGGAAAAGGAGUUGCUCAGAAUAUUCCUCAAUGUCUCCCAGAAUGACAACACAGCACUGCGGCGGAUGAACUUGAGGUCCUUCCUGAUGGCCCCUCUGCAAAGAGUCACCAAGUACCCACUGCUGCUCAGCAGAAUCAUCAAGGCCACCACCGAGUACCACCCGGAUCACGGCAGCCUGCGGGAGGCCAAGAGCCGCAUCGAGUCCCACCUGGAGCACAUCAACAUGAAAACCAAGCAGGAGGGGAACACAUGGACCCUCCGAUCCUUUCGCCAGGACAGCAAGAAGAAGAGGGAAGUCAUUAAUAUUGAGAUGAGAGAAACUGCCCUCAAAACUGUUGGUUGGCUGCGGGAGGAAACGCGAUUUGUGAUGGAGGGGUCUCUGCAGCUGGCCCAGCCCCCCGAUGGCCAGUGGGUGAAAAAAGGCAGCAAGACCCUGAAGUUCCAGAACAUGCAGGUUCUCCUCCUGGUGAACAUGAAGCGUGUGUCUGAGUCCAGCCUGGAAUCAGCCGAGCCAGGGCCUGUGAAGGAUGCUGUGCUGGUACUCAUCAGGGACAAAAAUAACGGGAAGUUCCAUUUGCUCAGGGAGCCCUUGAGGCUGAGUAAUUGCAUUGUCUCUACUGAUCCAGACUGUGACGACACUUUUGAACUCAUUGAGAUCAGGAGGGAGGCGUUUGUGUUCCGGGACAGCGACCGGGCACGGACUCACCACUGGUUCAGGCAGAUCAGGCGGUACUCCAGGGAGCUGGGCUCCUGGAAGAAGCGGCGGAACGCGCUGCCCAACAUCAUGAUCAGCACUCCUCACACCAGGCCCUGAGUCCUGCACGGGCUGACUUGGCUUGACCAAUGUCAUGUGCAGAGACCAUCAAGAGCCUCAGUGGCUUGAACUUGCUGUGCUCCAUGGACAACACAGGGAGGAGUCUGAUCCCCAAAGACUCUUAACGGCACUGGAAGCACCAGAGCCUAAUGUUGGUCUCCAGCCUCAGGACUCACAACCAGUUUGUGACUCAUGUACAUACAGAGAUGGUCUCCCCUUGAGGAGCAGAUCACUAGAGGAAAAUACUGUUUAACUUGUUGAUAUUGCACUGCAGGAGAAUGAUGUAUGAUGCUUGCCAUUGCAUGGAUCGUGUUGAAAGCCAGUCUUGAUGAGAGAGGUUUCCACUACUGACUGUAUUUCAUCAGCAUUAGGCAUUUUAUUUUACAGGAGGAUUCAUACAAGCACAUUCGUGUAUUUCUCCAGAGAUCAAUCAGCAUCAGUGGGCACCACAUGAAGGCAGACAGAAGCCACAUUCAUAAAGCAUUCUGGUGCUUCAUUUUGUCCUAGAGGAAAUGGAAAGAUUUGCAUCAUCUGGAGGGUGCUCAAGACGUGAGGGUGGCUGCACAUAGCUGAGCACUGUAGUGAGCAAUAGCUGUCAAAAUGCUUGUCAGGGCAGCAGCCUGGCUCCCUCAGGUGAGCUGGAAUUCCCUCCAGCUAUUUCCUAGUUGCUAGACAAUAAUUGUUUGUUCCCCAAAAUACUGAACAGCCAGUGAAGAGCAUGAGGCAUUGCUUUAGUUUGCUGUUUGUUUUUCACAGAGAUGGAUGCCUGAGCAGAGCAGCUGCUGGAGGAAAAUUUCUCUUAUGCUGUCAUGACAGAUCUGCAUCUAUGAACCUUCAAGCCCCAUUCACCUCACACGUAAAAAGCAACAGCUUGUAGCACCUUUGUCUUCCCUGCCAGGAUCACAAUGGCACAGCCAUCUUCUCUCCAUUACCUCUGGGGCAGCUUUGACAAGGCAAGGCAUAGAUACAAGUAAGUGUAACAGAUUAAUUUAUCCAAACGGCAACUGGCUUUCACAGCCACACAAAGCUGCUGCUUUCUGGAAAGUUUUCAAUUACUUUCCAGCACAGUGAUUUUCUCCACAUCAAUUCAUGCUCGAAACCAGCUGUGGACUGUUUGUACAGUCAUAUCUUUCAAUCAAGAUACCUUCAGCCAGCCUGGCUGUUCAGAAAGGUUAGAGAACAAUAAGUAUACGUAAAAGGUCUGAUAUUUAGCAUCGAGCUUGCGUUUGGCUGAUUGUUCAAUUUGUUAGAUUCAGGGUAUUUCUAGGUAUCACAGGAAGCACCUGCCUGCCAGGCUCCAAGUAAUCAUGGCCUAUUUCCUCUGAACCAAGCAAACUGUCCCCAGAAGAGGGUCCAUAAAUAAUCACAGGGUGUUGAGUUACAAGCAGGACAUGUACUUGGUGCUGUAGUCCUGUCUAAAAAACCUGUGGCCAGGGAACAGUACAAGCCCUUUGAUCUGGGACAGCCUGCUAGGGGAAGCGACAGUGGGAUUGUUGAACCUGUCAAACCAGACAGAGGUUGUGCUUCCAACACACGUGCUCCUUUUAUGUAUCCGAUGUGUACACAGCUGCUUGGCUGCCUGUAAAUUACAGGUGUUGAAAGGGAACUCGAGCAUGGAACAAUCCCUAUGGCCCUGGAGAGCCCGUGAUGUGGGGUGAGGCAGCACAGGAAGGGCGAGGAGUGCCAGCACACUGACAAGGCAGUAGAUUUCCAUAAUCCUUAGACACCUUUCUGAACUGCAUGAUCCCACUCCUGGGACGUUCCAGGUCUUUCAGCAUCACAUGUACAUGUCUUACUUGACAGCCAUGGAGAUUAGUUGUGCUGUAUUUUUCCAUUUCUGAUUAACAAACUGACAAAAUGCUAUUAUAACCCAGGGUACUUGGGAACAGGGUUGUCUGUAAGCCAAGAAAGCAAUUAUUUGUUCCAAACUCCAUCAUAUUUUUAUGCCUUUCAUUGUCAUGACUGACAAAGUACUAAGAUUACUUUUCAAGACUCCUGCCCACUGAACUUACCCAGCUAGCACAAACAGA